rnacentral:rRNA from 1 species
AGGACGAACGCUGGCGGCGUGCCUAACACAUGCAAGUGGAGCGACGAACCGGGGCUUGCCCCGGGGCAGAGCCGCGAACGGGUGAGUAACACGUGGGUUACCUGCCCCGAUGACUGGGACAACCCGUCGAAAGACGGGCUAAUACCGGAUGUGCCCCUUGGGGGAGAGGAAGCUUCGGCCUCCGCAUCGGGAUGGGCCCGCGGCGCAUUAGCUUGUUGGUGGGGUAAUGGCUUACCAAGGCGACGAUGCGUAGCUGGUCUGAGAGGACGAUCAGCCACACUGGGACUGAGACACGGCCCAGACUCCUACGGGAGGCAGCAGUGGGGAAUCUUGCACAAUGCGCGAAAGCGUGAUGCAGCAACGCCGCGUGCGGAAGAAGGCCUUAGGGUGUAAACCGCUUUCAGUUGGACGAAGCUUCAGUCGUUAAUAGCGGUUUGAGUGACGGUACCUCCAGAAGAGCGCCGGCUAACUCGUGCCAGCAGCCGC